UUUAUGGGUUCCUCUGUUAAUGGGUUAGGAUCCGAGACUCCUUUCGGGGUUACACAGGCUCCCCUACCCAACCCCUAUUCCGUCCUCGUCCUCGUCGUACAGAGUGGUAACUUACCCCACCACAUAUCCAAGCUUGGGUACACGGGCCUGUCCUAACCCCUUGGGCGGAUGGUGGAGCAAGGCUUAACAGGAGGGG
rnacentral:ribozyme from 1 species